GGAUGGUCACCGCCUGAAGGCGGCUUGGCAUCCUCCUCGUCUCCUCGCCGGCGGCUGCGGCAGGGGCGAGGGAGGCGGAGGGAAGGAGGAAGGGCCGCCCUCGCCCACCUCGGCGGCGGAGCGGAGCUGGGAGUGGAUGCGAGGGGCCGGGAGGAGAAGGGCUGCGGGCGCGGGGCGGCUUCCCGCCUCGUGAGGGGAGCGCGGCGGCGGCGGCGAGGGGGGACGCGGGCGGCAUGGGGGAGCCGAGCGGCGCGGGGGCGGCCCAGGCGGUUCGCGGCCGCUGAGGCGGCGGCCCGGGAGUGCUGCGGGCGCGGAGCGAGCCAUGCGGGGGGCGAAGUUACUGGCGGCUGUGCUGUGCCCCCUCGCGCUGCUCGUCGCCAGGUCGUGGGCGCUCCGCCUCCACCCGGGACAAGAGACCUUAGUGAAGCAGCUGUCCUCCUAUGAAAUCAUCACACCUGUCCGGGUGAAUGAGUUCGGAGAAGUUUUUCCUCACGCGCGUCACUUCAGCAGGAGGAAAAGGAGCUCGGAGCCCGCCGCUCUCCGCACGCACUACCGGCUCAGCGCGUACGGGCAGCUCUUCCAGCUCAACCUGAGCGCCGACGCGGGCUUCAUCUCCGCUCAGUUCGCUGCGGUGCACGUCGGAGCCCCGCGGCAGCCUCCCUCCCCCGACCUGCGGCACUGCUUCUACCGCGGGCACGUCAACGCGCAGCAGGCGCACGUGGCCGUCCUCAGCGUCUGCGGCGGCCUGAUGGGCACCUUUAAAGCACAUGAUGGUGAAUAUUUUUUAGAACCUCUGAUGAAAACGGAUGGAGGUGAACACGAAGAUGAGCAUAACAAACCACAUCUUAUAUACAGACAUGAAGAAAUUAAUAGAAAGUAUCAGAAAUCCCAUAAACCUUGUGAAGUUUCAGAAAAGGAGGUGAAGAAAAGCACUUUACUACAUCCAAAUGUCAGCAGCUUAAAUGAGGAGAGAAACAUUUUAUGGAAGUCUCCAAAUUUAGAGUAUGCUUUUAAAAAUCUGACUAUGGAGGAUGCUGGCAAUAAUCCACAUUCCCGGAAAAAACGUUUUCUUUCUUAUCCAAGAUAUGUAGAAGUGAUGGUUACAGCUGACACCAAAAUGGUUCGUCAUCAUGGACAGAAUUUACAGCACUAUGUAUUAACACUGAUGUCAAUAGUUGCAGCAAUCUAUAAAGAUUCAAGUAUUGGAAAUCUUAUAAAUAUAGUUAUUGUAAAAUUAAUUGUAAUUCACAAUGAACAGGAAGGACCAACGAUCACUUUCAAUGCAGCUACCACUCUUCGUAAUUUUUGUAUAUGGCAGCAAGCACAAAAUAUUUUGGAUGAUGCUCACCCUUCUCAUCAUGACACUGCUGUUCUUAUCACUAGGGAAGAUAUCUGCAGAGCUAGAGAGAAGUGUGAUACUCUAGGUUUGGCGGAGCUAGGUACAAUGUGUGACCCACUACGCAGCUGCUCUAUAAGUGAAGAAAAUGGAUUAAGUGCUGCUUUUACUAUAGCACAUGAGCUUGGGCAUGUAUUUAAUGUGCCACAUGAUGACAGCUUUAAAUGUAAAGAAGCUGGAAUUAAACAUCAAUACCAUGUUAUGGCUCCAACUUUGAAUUACCAUACAAGUCCAUGGACCUGGUCAAAAUGCAGUCAAAAAUAUAUCACUGAAUUUCUUGACACUGGUUAUGGUGAAUGCCUCCUAGAUAAACCGAGUGGAAGAAUUUAUGGUCUUUCUUCUCAGCUGCCUGGAUUAAUGUAUGAUGUCAAUAAACAGUGUGAGCUUAUGUUUGGCCUUGGGUCGCAAGUGUGUCCCUAUCUGAAACAAUGCAAACGUUUAUGGUGCACGAGCACAGUGGGAGUUCACAAGGGAUGUCGGACUCAGCACAUGCCUUUGGCUGAUGGAACAGUUUGCGGUGUGGGAAUGCACUGCCGCCAUGGAAUUUGUGUGAGCAGAGAAAUGGAGACGCGUCCUGUAGAUGGAGAGUGGGGACCGUGGGGACCUUAUAGCUCAUGUUCAAGAACUUGUGGAGGUGGAAUCAAGAGCACCACCAGGCUCUGUAACAGACCAGAACCAAGAAAUGGAGGAAAGUACUGUGUUGGCCGCAGGAUGAAAUUUCGUUCCUGUAAUACUGAUUCAUGUCCAAAGGGCAAAAAAGAUUUCCGGGAGCAACAGUGCUCUGAAUUUGAUGGCAAACAUUUUAACAUCAAUGGUCUUACAUCUGCUGUUCGCUGGCUUCCAAAAUACAGUGGUAUUUCAAUGAAAGAUCGCUGUAAACUUUUUUGCCGAGUUUCUGGAACAACUUCCUACUAUCAGCUGAAGGACAGAGUUGCUGAUGGUACUCCCUGUGGAGCAGAAACCAAUGACCUUUGUGUUCAAGGCUUAUGCAGGCAAGCAGGCUGUGAUCAUGUUUUGAAUUCCAAGGCAAGGAGAGACAAAUGUGGAAUCUGUGGUGGUGAUAACUCUUCAUGUAAGACACUUGCAGGUACUUUCAACCGUGCUCGUUAUGGUUACAAUGUUGUAGUACAGAUUCCCAAAGGAGCAACAAACAUUGAUAUUCGGCAGCACAGCUACUCAGGGAAACCAGAAGAUGACAACUACCUUGCAUUAUCAGAUGUUCAUGGGAAUUUUAUCUUGAAUGGGAAUUUUGUUGUAAGCAUGUCAAAAAGAGAAAUCAACAUACAUGGAGCAAUUUUUGAGUACAAUGGUUCAAACAAUACAGUAGAACGAAUUAACAGCACUGAUAGGAUUGAAGAGGAGUUAACCUUACAGGUUUUGUGUGUAGGGAAUUUAUACAACCCUGAUGUGCGUUAUUCAUUCAAUAUUCCAAUAGAAGACAGAAGUGAUCUGUUUACGUGGGAUCCCUAUGGACCCUGGCAGGACUGCAGCAGGAUGUGUCAAGGUAUUAGAAGAAGAAGAAUGACGUGCAUACGUAGAAGUGAUCAUGUGGUAGUGUCUGAUCAAAGAUGUGAACAUAUACCUCCUGUUCCAGAUGUCUCUGAAGAGUGUAAUACAGAGUGUGAAUUAAGGUGGCACAGCAUUGGCAAAAGUGACUGCACAUCAAAGUGUGGCCCAGGGUAUCGAUCUAUAGAAAUCCACUGCAUGAAGUACUCCGUUUCAAAAGGACUCAGUGCUCUGGUGGAUGAUAGAUACUGUGCUGAUCAGCAGAAACCACCAACCAGAGAGCCCUGUCAUGGCGACUGUACGUUAACAAGCUGGCACUACACAGAAUGGUCAGAGUGCUCCAGGAGCUGUGAAAGAGGCGUCAGAACCAGAGAAGCUUUCUGUUUGAACAACUUGGGUCGUCAUCUUCCUGACAGAGAAUGUCAGGAACUUCCAAGAGUUGUAACACAGAGUUGCAAUGAAUUCUUGUGUCCAAGCUGGUCUGCUAGUGAGUGGAGUGAGUGCCCUGUGACAUGUGGCAAAGGAAUGAAGCAUCGACAAGUGUGGUGCCAACUUAAUGAUGAACAACUGAGAGACGAUUUCUGUAAUCUGAAUGAUAGACCAGGAUCAGUGACACCAUGUGAACUUCCUGAAUGCGCAUCUUGGCAAGUAGGCCCUUGGGGAGCAUGUACUGUAACUUGUGGACGUGGAUACCAGAUGCGUGCAGUCAAAUGCGUUACUGGGACUUACAGAGUUAUUUUGGAUGAUGACAGAGAAUGUAAUGCUGCUACUCGUCCUAGAGAUAACCAAGAAUGUGAAUUGCCCUCUUGUCCAGAAACUACAAAAUUAUGGACUACAUCGUUUCCUCUAAUCCAUGUAGGAAAGGUGACCCAGUGGCGAUAUGGAUCAUGGACCCCAGUAUGUAAUUGUUCAGCAUCCUGUGGGAAGGGUGAUCGUGCUCGCUAUGUGAGCUGUAGAGAUGCUCAUGGAGGAAUAGCAGAUGAGUCUUUCUGUGCUCAUUUGCCACGUCCAGCUGAGGUUUCAAGUUGCUUUAGCCCAUGUGGAGAGUGGCAAGUUGGAAACUGGUCCCCUUGCACAGUUACAUGUGAUAGUGGAAUAAUAACAAGACAAGUUAUCUGUGUCAACUACCAUCAACAAAUCAACGAGAAUUACUGUGAUCCUGAAGGCCGUCCCUCUAAAGAACAAGAAUGUAACAUGCCACCAUGUUCACCAGUUUAUCACACUCCGAAAAUACAUGAGCAUCCAAGUCAUUUUCCAGAAGCAGGUUAUCCUCCAAUACAUCAUCCACUAGACAGUGUGAACCAGUGGAAUCAUCCUUCUGUAGGAGGAUAUCAAUGGAGGACUGGACCCUGGGGAGCAUGCUCUAGUACUUGUGCAGGUGGAUUUCACCGUCGAGUUGUAGUAUGUCAAGAUGAGGAAGGAAGAAGCGCUAGUUAUUGUGAUGAGGCAAGUAAACCUCCAGAGUCAAGACACUGUGAUUCUGGACCCUGCCCACGAUGGAACUAUGGAAACUGGGGAGAAUGUACCCAAACAUGUGGAGAUGGAAUAAAGACAAGACUGGUGAUAUGUCAGCUUCCUACUGGCCAAAUGCUGGGUGAUCAAAACUGUGAAAUUCUAGACAAGCCACCUAAUAUGGCACAGUGUAAUGUGCAUUCUUGCCCUGGUGAUGUUUCAUGGCAUCGGGGACCAUGGAAAUCGUGUUCUGUUUCCUGUGGGAAAGGUUUGAAGCAUCGUGAUGUGCAUUGUUUUAAUAGCUUCCAGGCUAAAAUAGAGGAUGAAAACUGCAGACAUUUAAAAAGACCACGGACAUACAAAAUCUGUAGAGCCGGAAGAUGUCCUGCCUGGAAAGCCAGCGGAUGGAAAGAAUGUUCUGUAUCCUGUGGUGUGGGGAUUCAGCAGAGGGACAUCUACUGUCAGGUGAAGGGCCUGGGUAAAGUGAGUGAAGCAAUGUGCAACCACGAUGCCCGGCCCGCUGACCACAGGCCCUGUUGGCUGCCUGCCUGCACACGGUACCACUGGCUGGCAGAUGGAUGGGAGAAUUGCUCAACGUCAUAUAGAAGAAAGGAAAUACACCAGAAGGUUAAGUGUGUGGAUGAAAACCAGAUCCAAGUGGAUGAAAGCUUCUGCAAUCCUGCCACAAAACCUCCAUCCAUCAAAAACUGCAGGAGAGCUCCCUCCAAAUAUGUUGUGCUCACAGGAGAAUUGUCACAGUGUUCAGCCAGCUGCGGGUUGGAUUACCAACAGAGGAUCACAUACUGUGUUGGAAUCCAUUCUGUUCAAAACAAGCACGCCUACGGCCUUCGAAAUGUGGCAUAUCGCGAAUGCCCAGUGACACCCUCCCCAUACAUUUAUUACUGUAAUAUCAAAGGAUGCUCACAAGCAGCUACCUGGAGAGUGGGGAAGUGGACCAAGUGCUCAGUGUCUUGUGGAGCAGGGGUAAAGGAGAGAACAGUGGAGUGUAUGACUGAAAAUGGCUUAUCCAGUGACUUGUGCCUGCCACAUUUAAAACCAGAUACCAGGAGGAUCUGCCAUGCAGAGGAAUGUGAAAUUAUUACCACCUGCAAAGAUAUCCAGAUUAGAAAAGGGAUGAGAAAAGACGGUGAAUACCUACUCAACAUUAAAGGAAGGAUGAUAAAAAUCUAUUGUUCAGACAUGCACUUAGACAAUCCCAAAGAAUAUUUGACGUUGGUAAAAGGAGAAGCAGACAAUUUCUCUGAAGUGUAUGGACUCAGGUUACAGAAUCCAUAUGAAUGUCCUUUCAAUGGAAGCAGGAGGCAAGACUGUGCCUGUCGAAAUGAUUACCUUGCAGCUGGCUUCACGGUUUUUAGCAAAAUAAGAUUUGAUGUCGCCUCCAUGCAAAUUAAAAACUAUACUUGGGAGAGCAGUUCCGUUUGCUACAGCUGGAGAUUGCUACAGUGCUGCCAGAUGUCCUCAGGUAUUUAUGAUUUCUCUCCCCUUGAAAAAAGAAAAAAAGUUUUACUGAUUUAGUGCUGCAAGGUUCUAAAUUUCUGAAAUUCGUUCUGCCUGGUGUGUGUGUGACAUUAAUAAGUGCUUUUUCUUACUCCUUCCUCUGUUCCAUCAUCUGCUUUUUUCUGUUUCUACCACAAACUGUAUGCCUUUGAGAACUAUCAGAGGAAAUCAACCUUGUUUAGCUGCUGAAUUCAAUGUCAGUGUUUUAGUUUGGAAUGGCUGAGGCUUCUCAAGUGAAUGUCUUUGUGUCCCAGCUUUCUGUUUGUUGGUUCAUGCCAUGGAGCAGUGUUGGGACGCAUGAACUGGAUGCCCUCUGGAUGAAACUGAAUCAAAUGAUGAGUUCCAGAAGGGCCAUAUGUGCUCCAACUGCUGAUGAGAACUCAGUCUAUGGGACUAGAUGAGAGUUAGUCCAGUGUAAAAUCUGAUUUGUCUACUGUAUAUGGACAUGAGGUUCUUGACUUUUUCACUUCACCGUUUUGCUCAUACUGCAGUCUACUCCUUGCUAAUGCAGUUAUAGCCCUAGCAUAAUCUAGUCAACCAAGGCUGUCUUUGGAGUCUAUUGGAAGAAAUGGGAGUCCCUAGAAAAUGGUUCAUAGACUCUUACCACAUUAGAAACCUUAGGAUAUCCUAAGGUGUCUGAUAAUGACCUCGAGAUCAUCUUCUGGAAGUGCAUAUUUAUUUUCACUCAUUAUAAAGGAAGAUAAAGCCAAUAAGCUCAAAACUUGCAUGGAAGUGAAUAUUUGUUGUCUAUCUAACCUGGAUGCCUAAGCUUAAGACAGGCUGUGUGGGAGGAUGCAUUCAAGGGCAGACAGAGACCUACCAACUUAGGUACAAAUGAAGUGCUUAAGUUAGGCAAACUUAACCUUUGGCAAGAAAACUGUUGGAGUUCUUUACAGUAUUGAAUACCUUCAACAUUCAGACUCUGGGCUCGGUGCAGUACAUAUCUACUUGUGAUCAGUAACUUUUGUCAGGAAGUCAUUCUGCUUAUGUGUUUUUUGCACUGAUGUAUUUUCAUUUGUGAAUUAGCAUUGAAACUAACCCCUGUGUUAAACCCCUGCAGACAAAAAGUGUCCAUUCAUUCAUUCAUUUAUUUUUACAAAACAUAACCCUAUGAACGUAUUUAUGUUGGGCUUGUUAACUGUGGGAAACAUUCCACACCAUUUGUAUGAAUUUCCUCCAGAUGCUUUAUUCAUUCAUGGAAAUGUCCUUUUCCAGCCUUCAAAGAACUAUCUACCCAAUCGAUAUUUGCUUAUGUUAGUGCAUCCUGAGCGUAGGAGUGCUAUCAACAUAUCAAAUCUGUGUAGAAAUGCACUUGAAACAAAUCUGCCAUAACAAACGUAAGACUGAAUUUUUAGAAAGGAAUUUCAAUGACUUUCAAGAAUAAAGACUGAAUGAUGUAUUUUUACACAUAUAAAACAUAUUAAACAUACACAGAUCUUUUGUAUACAUAUAUAUAUAUCACUGGCAAUAUUAAAAAUAAAAUAUGAAAGCUGAAAUACAUAAUGGAGAUUUUAUCUUUGCUAAACAUUUGAUAUUGGGAUUUAAGCAAUUUUUAUAGUCUGAAAUCAGAAAUUCAGGCCUUUGAGAAUUGUAUGUGGGUGGCUGGAAAUUUUCAGAUUAGAGUUCUGCCUAAACCAACACUUAGGCUCUUUGUGGAGGUAGCACUUACUUUUCCACACAUUGCUCUUCUGUGUAGAUAUAAUUUAAUCAUUUUCUAUUCCCAGGUUUGUUUACUAGCUUUUAAAUUAUUUUUCUUGUCCUCAUAUGAACCAUCUGUGUUAUGAAGAUCGUUUUCAGACUAUUUAUUUGCAUAAGCAAGGACUUCAGAAUCAAUAAAAUAUUUUGAAUGGUUUGUAUAGCAAAGCAUACUAUUUAGCAACAAAUGUAUUUGUUUUAUCCUCCGUUUAUGUUCAUGUUCAGUUAUGUUAUAAAGUAUACAGAGAAAGAAAUGGGAGAUGAUAUAAUAACGAUGCUUGGGCAGUUUGCGUGCAAAGGUUUGAGACCUGGAUGGCUAAGAAGUGAUUUAUCUCCAAUUUCCAGACAACAUCAGGACCUGACCGUGUUGUCUCCUAAAAGUUCAGGCGCUUAGAAAUGUCUUUCAAGAAAAUCAGCCUCACUCUUGCAUAUUGCAUGUACAUAAUUUUUGUAAAUUUAAUUUAAAUAUGUAGCAAGGAGGCUAAAAUAAUUUGAAUUAACUGAUCAUUGAAUCAUAGAAUCAUAGAACAUCUUGGGUUGAAAAGGACCAUAAUGAUCAUCUAGUUUCAAACCCUCUACUAGUGCAGGGUCAAACCACCAGACCAGGCUGCCCAGAGCCACAUCCAGCCUGGCCUUGAAUGCCUCCAGGGAUGGGGCAUCCACAGCCUCCUUGGGCAACCUGUUCCAGUGUGUCACCACCCUCUCUGUGAAAAACUUCCUCCUAAUAUCUAACUUAAAUUUCCCCUGUCUCAGUUUAAAACCAUUCCCCCUUUUCCUAUCACUGUCCACCCUAAUAAACAGUCAUACCCCCUCCUGUUUAUAUGCUGUCUUCCAAGAAUUGGAAGGCUGCAAUGAGAUCUCCCCGGAGCCUUCUCUUCUCCAAGCUAAACAAGUCCUGUUCCCUCAACCCUUCUUCAUAGAAGAGGUGCUCCAGCCUAAUCAACUGAUGUCAGUUCUGCACUCAGACUUUGCAAACAGGUGCUACUCACUACAGAAUAACUGGUUCAUGUGCUUUUGUGUCACGAGAGUCAAAAGAUAGGAAAUAACUUGAUGUAUCUAAACCAGGAGAGCUAUGCAUCUUUGAGUACUUAAUGUCCAGAUAUAACCUAACCUAUGAGUGUUUUAGUAUUCUGAACUCUGUUUAUCAGUUCUGUACUUUACCUUUUGUUUUUGUUUUGUUAGGGCCAGUUCAGCAUUAAUUUGGCUGGUACAGGUCUGAGAUUAUCCAGUACUGUUAGGUGGAUGGCUCAGGGCAACUAUGCAACCGCUGACAUACACAAAUCCCAUGAUGGUACCAAAAUAUA